UACAGAGGGGGCAAGCGUUAUUCGGAAUUAUUGGGCGUAAAGGGCGCGUAGGCGGCGAUUCAAGUGACGGGUGAAAUCCCUCGGCUUAACCGAGGAACUGCCUGUCAGACUGGAUUGCUUGAGGCCGGGAGAGGCGAGUGGAAUUCCCAGUGUAGCGGUGAAAUGCGUAGAUAUCAGGAGGAACACCGGUGGCGAAGGCGGGUCUCUGGGCCGAUACUGACGCUGAGGCUCGAAAGCAUGGGGAGCAAACAGG
rnacentral:rRNA from 1 species